rnacentral:rRNA from 1 species
GACGAACGCUGGCGGCGUGCUUAACACAUGCAAGUCGAACGGGAGUAUUGAAGAAGCUUGCUUUAGAGAUACUUUAGUGGCGGACGGGUGAGUAACGCGUGAGGAGCUGUCCAAUGCAGGGGGACAACAGUUGGAAACGACUGCUAAUACCCCAUAAGCCGAGAGGUAAAAGGAUUUAUCCGGCAGAGGAGGUACUCGCGUCCUAUCAGCUAGUAGGUGAGGUAACGGCUCACCUAGGCGAAGACGGGUAGCCGGCCUGAGAGGGCGAACGGCCACACUGGAACUGAGAUACGGUCCAGACUCCUACGGGAGGCAGCAGUGGGGAAUAUUGGGCAAUGGGGGGAACCCUGACCCAGCGACGCCGCGUGGGUGAAGAAAUCCUUCGGGAUGUAAAGCCCUGUUGUAUGGGAAGAGCGGAAGACGGUACCAUACGAGGAAGCCCCGGCAAACUACGUGCCAGCAGCCG